AGUGAACGCUGGCGGUAGGCCUAACACAUGCAAGUCGAACGGCAGCACAGUAAGAUCUUGCUCUUACGGGUGGCGAGUGGCGGACGGGUGAGGAAUACAUCGCAAUCUACUUUUUCGUGGGGGAUAACGGGGGGAAACAUACGCUAAUACCGCAUACGACCUACGGGUGAAAGCAGGGGAGCUUCGGACCUUGCGCGAUUGAAUUAGCCGAUGUCGGAUUAGCUAGUUGGCUGGGUAAAGGCCCACCAAGGCGACGAUCCGUAGCUGGUCUGAGAGGAUGAUCAGCCACACUGGAACUGAGACACGGUCCAGACUCCUACGGGAGGCAGCAGUGGGGAAUAUUGGACAAUGGGCGCAAGCCUGAUCCAGCCAUACCGCGUGGGUGAAGAAGGCCUUCGGGUUGUAAAGCCCUUUUAUUGGGAAAGAAAAGCAGCAGGUUAAUACCCCGCUGUUCUGACGGUACCCAAAGAAUAAGCACCGGCUAACUUCGUG
rnacentral:rRNA from 1 species